GCGUUCGUAGUCCAGUGGUUAGGAUAUCGCCUUCCCAAUGUCCCUAAGGACAUCGGACCAGGCGGGUACCCGAGUUCGAAUCUCGGCGGACGCA